AAUCCUAUAGUUAAUAAUAAUAUUAAAUUGCAAGUUUAAAGAUGUGUGAAGAUCACUAGGAUUU
rnacentral:tRNA from 1 species